AGGUACAUGUAUUCAGACUGUUGACUCCAGACCAAAAGUUGUGGAUAAAACUAUUUGUUGACCAUGAGUAAGCGGAAACCAGUACCAGCUGCUAAAUUUCGAUGUAUUUUCACGAAUUUUCCACACUUUUAUACAAAUACGAAUAAAAAAUUUGCACUUGUCUCUGCAAGUGGCGACUCCCAUGUGAGAGUUUGUGUUUAUUUGAUAAAAAUUUUACAAAUAUAACUGACUGAAUGUUAACCUCUGAAGAGUUAUAUUACUAUUAUAGUUUAUACAAAGUCCUCAGAAACGAUCCAGAAUAUGUUUAACUGUCAUUUGUUCCAUGUUUGACUAGUGUACUGAUUCUUGGAUUGUAAAUAUAUUAGCGGUCCAUUUAUAAUUUGUUGUAAUGUUGUGAUCGUAUUUGAUUGUCUAUUGUUUAUACUGCAUGUAUUUCUCCUAUGGUCGGUGAAUGUGUGUUUUGUAAUAAUGAAAGAUAUAUAACACCUGAGUAAACAUCCUGAAAAACAGUUACCUCCUUGCAAAAAUCUUUAGACCUGACAUUAAAAACCUGCCUAAGUAAGUCUCUGACCUUAAUUCCAACUUGCUGAAAUAUAUGUCAAUGAGCCAAAUCACACAUAAUGAGUUCCUAGUACAUGUAAUAUAAGCAAUAUUUUAAUUAUCCCUGAUCUCCUCCAGAACUCUCCAUUUAAUAUCGCUAUACGUAAAAUUAAGCAUUUAGUUCUCAUAUCAACAAUAUAAUCAACAUAAUUCAAAGUCUUGCUCUAGCCCAUAUAAAUAAACUCCUGUGUAAAUAUAUGUAUUAUGCAGCAGUGCCAGUUGUAUCCAGGUUUGAAUGAAACAUAAAUCAUAAAUGAAAUAAAAUUUUAUCAUUUUA